GUAACCUCAAGCUCAGCUUGGUGUUGGGUGUCUGUCCCCGCCCCGCGCGGGGACUCGCCUCAAAAACAUUGGCGGCCGGUACGUUGGCUUCGAGCGCAGCAGAAACGCGAACUCGAGGCCCGACGGAUCGGCGACCAGAAGUCACUUCUUCCACA
rnacentral:misc_RNA from 1 species